AUUGAACGCUGGCGGCACGCCUAACACAUGCAAGUCGAGCGGCAGCGAGACUAGUAGCAAUACUAGUUGUCGGCGAGCGGCGGACGGGUGAGUAACACGUAGGAAUCUGCCCUUAAGCGGGGGAUAACCAAGGGAAACUUUGGCUAAUACCGCAUAAUCUCGAGAGAGCAAAGCUGCCCGCAAGGGUGGCACUUGAGGAGGAGCCUGCGUCCGAUUAGCUAGUUGGUGGGGUAAUGGCCUACCAAGGCGAUGAUCGGUAACUGGUCUGAGAGGACGACCCGUCACACUGGGACUGAGACACGGCCCAGACUCCGUCGGGAGGCAGGAGUGUGGAAUAUUGGACACUGGGGGCAGCCCUGAUCCAGCGAUGCCGCGUGAGUGAAGAAGGCCUUCGGGUCGUAAAGCUCUUUAGGUUGGGAUGAAGGGUAUUGGCUGAAUAAUCCAGUACUUUGACGGUACCUGAAGAAUAAGCACCGGCUAACUACGUGCCAGCCGCCGCGGUAAGAC
rnacentral:rRNA from 1 species